GUGGGGAAUAUUGGACAAUGGGCGAAAGCCUGAUCCAGCCAUGCCGCGUGUGUGAAGAAGGUCUUCGGAUUGUAAAGCACUUUAAGUUGGGAGGAAGGGCAGUAAGUUAAUACCUUGCUGUUUUGACGUUACCGACAGAAUAAGCACCGGCUAACUUCGUGCCAGCAGCCGCGGUAAUACGAAGGGUGCAAGCGUUAAUCGGAAUUACUGGGCGUAAAGCGCGCGUAGGUGGUUCAGUAAGUUGGAAGUGAAAUCCCCGGGCUCAACCUGGGAACUGCGUUCAAAACUGCUGAGCUAGAGUACGGUAGAGGGUGGUGGAAUUUCCUGUGUAGCGGUGAAAUGCGUAGAUAUAGGAAGGAACACCAGUGGCGAAGGCGACUACCUGGACUGAUACUGACACUGAGGUGCGAAAGCGUGGGGAGCAAACAGGAUUAGAUACCCGAGUAGUCC
rnacentral:rRNA from 1 species